rnacentral:lncRNA from 1 species
UUAUGAAAUCAUCAGAUUGUGCUGAUUUUGCACAUGAAGAAAUGUUGUCUAAUGUUUCAGACAACCUCAAUUCAACUGAAGAUGACUUGACACUGUCAGGCUAUGUUCAAGAUAACUUUGAAUUCUUGGACCACAUGGACUGCAGCGUCCUGGAGCACAUGGAAUGUACUGUCCCUUAUCAGGUCUGAAUCACGUGAGGUUUAAACAUUAUUUUAGUACUUUUUAAGAAAAAGGGUUUAGUUCUAUGAGGCACUUUUCUCUUUAUUUCAUGUCAGGUACACGAGUUCUCUGUUGAACCUCCUGGUCAUUCAGAUGAUGAGUAUGAAGUGAUGGAGCAGGGUCAGCCCUCACAUCAUGUCGAUGAGCUCCAGAGGCACACAGAAUCAAAGUCACCCAAACAGCUCAGCAUUGAUGCAAAUGGCCGACACAUUAAAUCACUUAGUUUGCCUUACAUGACAUCACCUAUCCAUGGACAGGAGGAGUCUGGCUCUGAUGAUGAUGAUGAUGAUAAUGAUGUAGAUGAUUACAACAGUGAGGAUGAGGAGAACAUGUUUGUCAAAAGCCUCCCAUCUUAUUUCUUUUCAAAGGAACUAUCUGGAUGUGAACCAGAAAUUGAGAGGCAGGAAAAAUAUUCUCUUGAAAUUCAUCCUGUAGAUGUAGUACAGAUCACAGAUGAUGAAGGCAUUAAGCAUUCUCCAUGUUUGGAAUCAACUACAGAUAAGAUACAGAUAGGCAUAAAAGAUACUGAAGUAAGUGACAGAUGGGAGGAAAAUAAGUGGUCAAGAACAGAAGAUAAAGCUAAAAAUCCCCAGGAACAAAGCAAGACACAAAGCACAGUAGCACGGAAGAUAAACAGCAUCAUGGAAGAUGCUCGAAGCAGCAACAACAACAAUGAGCAACCACUCAACCCAGAGGAAUCAACAUACUGGUGCAGUAUGUAUCCCUUGUCAACUGAUGGAGAAUCAAGUGUCAUGGCUGACACAACAGUAAACAAGCAAACAGAAAUAGAUAAUUUCUCUUACAGUGAUUAUGCAGAGAAUUUCCACUCAGAAACUGUGGAGGUUUUAUUUAUGGAGUCUAAAGACUUUUCUGAAAGUUCACUAGAACCAACUGAUAAAGAGGACAGAGAUCAUGUAAAAGAAAUCAAUAGAUACAAAGAUACAGACGAUACAAUUCAAGACAUUGUACCGAAUAUAAGACCAAAUGAUGAAAGAAUGUACAACCUAGUUUCUAAAGAAAAGAUGGAGGUAAGCAGCAAAGAGAACAGUGAUAUUUUGGAUGAUCAUGUGGAUGUUACAUGCGAAAUUACAAAAGGAGAUGGAAGUAUGCAGAUUGAGAUUAAAUCUGCAGAACAAAGUGAUGUUGCAAAAAUGGGAGUGAAGACAGUAAAUGUGGAGUUUAAUGACGGAGAGACAAGUGAAAGAGAAGUUAGAAUAGAAACAGUAAAGGAAUCAAGACCUGCCAAAAAGCUUGCAGAUUGUGAAAUUCAGCUAGAAAUUGAGAAAGGGACAAUUUUAGAAAAGACAGAGGUCCUAGAGACAAAUAAAUGGAAAGGUGCCCUUAUUGAAAAAAGAUGUCAAGACAGAAGGGAGGUAUUUUCUGCAGACAAUGAAACAAGUGAAAGCGACAGCAGCCCGAAUGCAGUGGGAAGAAUGGUGGUAAUCUCCAAACAUCCCAAAAUUUAUCAAGUAAAAGCAGUACCGGUUGUGCCUCCGAAGCCACAGCACUGCAGAAUCACUGCCUUGAACCUCCGCCAACAGCAGCAGCAGGAACAGCACAGAGACAGACUAGACUCUGACAUAGGGAAGGAAGCCAUGAUGAAGGCUGUGAUGCAGCAAGAUGACAUCUGUGAAGGAGAACAUGAGAAAGACAGAGACAAUGGGGGCAGAGAGAAAGAGAAGCCAAAACUCAGUGGAGGUGAAAGAGAGGGGGGGAAAGAUGUGAGUAGGAACAGUCCACUCAGCAUGUAUUUUGAUGAGGCUGUUGCUAUAGCAACAAUGAGACGUGAAAAAGAGAAAGAGUGUGAAAAGGAAAGGCAGAGGGAGUGGGGAAAUGAAAUGCAGUGA